UCCUACUGAGGGAAAAGGGUCGAUUCGAAGUGGAUAAGAGAUGGAGAUGAUGAAAUCCUAUGAAAGAUAAGCCUUCAGAAGGUAGACAGGAUGGAUUCGUUGAGAACAGAUAAGAAGAGAAGAGGGUGAAGUGAGAAGUCUUUAAAUUAGCUGAGAAACAUGCAUUUUUGUGUUUCUAUGGUUGUGAAGGAAGAACUUUUCCAUUCCAGACAACUUGACACAGGCACACACACGCUAGGAUAAUAACAUUGGUGAGGGCCUGGCUGAUGUACAGUAAGGUUGGGUGGUGACGGAAGUCUGAGGUGGGGAACAGCAGCGCUGUUAACUUCAGGUAAAUGAUCUGAAAACAGAGAGAGAGAGAGAGAGAGAGAGAGAGAGAGAGAGAGAGAGAGAGAGAGAGAGAGAGAGAGAGAGAGAGAGAGAGAGAGAGAGAGAGAGAGAGAGAGAGAGAGAGAGAGAGAGAGCACAACAGGGAAAUAGAGAGUGAGAAAGACGUCACUAACACGUCAACUUGACAGAACACUGUCAGACAGAAGAAAACAAUUUGCACAGAAGUCGGGAGCUCACUGUCAGAAAACGAAUGGAACAGAAUCCACAUUUGUCAGACGGCUAUUUCCCGGUGUUUUUUCCUGACCUGACAUGUUUCACAUAGAAAAGUACAAUUGUUCAGUGACUACAAGAGGUAGGAACCAGAACCAUAUACUAGGCAGCUGUCAGCUAUCUACCUACCUCAUCCCCAUACUGGACCUGAGCCCUAGGACCAUGCCCCAGGACUACCUGACAUGAUGACUCCUUGCUGUCCCCAGUCCACCUGGCCAUGCUGCUGCUCCAGUUUCAACUGGCCUGGGCCCUAGGACCAUGUCCCAGGACUACCUGACAUGAUGACUCCUUGCUGUCCCCAGUCCACCUGGCCAUGCUGCUGCUCCAGUUUCAACUGUUCUGCCUUACUAUUAUUCAACCAUGCUGGUCAUUUAUGAACAUUUGAACAUCUUGGCCACGUUCUGUUAUAAUCUCCACCCGGCACAGCCAGAAGAGGACUGGCCACCCCACAUAUGCUCUCUCUAAUUCUCUCUUUCUUUCUCUCUCUCUCGGAGGACCUGAGCCCUAGGACCGUGCCCCAGGACUACCUGACAUGAUGACUCCUUGCUGUCCCCAGUCCACCUGACUGUGCUGCUGCUCCAGUUUCAACUGUUCUGCCUUAUUAUUAUUCGACCAUGCUGGUCAUUUAUGAACAUUUGAACAUCUUGGUCAUGUUCUGUUAUAAUCUCUACCCGGCACAGCCAGAAGAGGACUGGCCACCCCACAUAGCCUGGUUCCUCUCUAGGUUUCUUCCUAGGUUUUGGCCUUUCUAGGGAGUUUUUCCUAGCCACCGUGCUUUUACACCUGCAUUGUUUGCUGUUUGGGGUUUUAGGCUGGGUUUCUGUACAGCACUUUGAGAUAUCAGCUGAUGUACGAAGGGCUAUAUAAAUAAAUUUGAUUUGAUUUGAUUUGAUGUGUCGAAUUGCUACGCUUGAUCUUGGCCAG